rnacentral:rRNA from 1 species
GAUGAACGCUGGCGGCGUGCCUAAUACAUGCAAGUCGAGCGAACAGAUAAGGAGCUUGCUCCUUUGACGUUAGCGGCGGACGGGUGAGUAACACGUGGGUGACCUACCUAUAAGACUGGAAUAACUCCGGGAAACCGGGGCUAAUGCCGGAUAACAUUUAGAACCGCAUGGUUCUAAAGUGAAAGAUGGUUUUGCUAUCACUUAUAGAUGGACCCGCGCCGUAUUAGCUAGUUGGUAAGGUAACGGCUUACCAAGGCAACGAUACGUAGCCGACCUGAGAGGGUGAUCGGCCACACUGGAACUGAGACACGGUCCAGACUCCUACGGGAGGCAGCAGUAGGGAAUCUUCCGCAAUGGGCGAAAGCCUGACGGAGCAACGCCGCGUGAGUGAUGAAGGUCUUCGGAUCGUAAAACUCUGUUAUUAGGGAAGAACAAAUGUGUAAGUAACUGUGCACGUCUUGACGUUACCUAAUCAGAAAGCCACGGCUAACUACGUG